UAUUUUCCUUUUUUUCCCUCCGCCGCGGUAAUACGUAGGGAGCAAGCGUUGUCCGGAUUUACUGGGUGUAAAGGGUGCGUAGGCGGAUUGGCAAGUCAGAAGUGAAAUCCAUGGGCUUAACCCAUGAACUGCUUUUGAAACUGUUAGUCUUGAGUGAAGUAGAGGUAGGCGGAAUUCCCGGUGUAGCGGUGAAAUGCGUAGAGAUCGGGAGGAACACCAGUGGCGAAGGCGGCCUACUGGGCUUUAACUGACGCUGAGGCACGAAAGUGUGGGUAGCAAACAGG
rnacentral:rRNA from 1 species